CCCCGCCCACCCCGCCUGCUCCCGUGGGGACGUCCUGAUUUCCGAGUCCUGGCGGCUCCAGGCAGUUCCGGAGUGGAGGGAGGAAGUCCGAUCCCGGCUGCUCCCCGCCUCUUCGCCAGCGCUCGCUGGGGGCGCCGGGGCCCCUCUCCCUUCCUCCGCCCCUGCGGGGAGGCAGUCCGAAGAGCAGCAACUGCAGCACGAAGAGGAGAAGGAGGAGAUGGGGGAAAAGGCGUCUUGUCACAGCUGCAGGUUGCCGGCCUAGGGCCUUUAUGUUUUGGGGAACAGCAUGCACGCCAUGAAAGGCAAAUUCUUUACCACUGAGUCACCUGGGAAGCCUGAGUUCUCAUGCAGCAACUAAAUUCCGGCAUGCUACAACAAAGAAUGAAGAUUCCACAUGCCUCAGCUGAGACCCGCUGCAGCCAGAUGAAUAAAAAUAAAUACUAAAAACAAAAUUAUGGUUGCCAGGGGGAAGGGAUGUUAGGGACUUUGGGAACGUCAUGUAUACACUGCUAUAUUUAAAGUGGGUAACCCACAAAGACCUGUUGUAUGGCACACAGAACUCUCCUCAAUGUUAUGUGGUAGCCUGGAUGGGAGGGGAGUUCGGGGGAGAAUGGAUACAUGUAUAUGUAUGACUGAGUUCACCUGAAUCCAUCACAACAUUGUUAACCGGCUAUACCCCAAUACAAAGUUUAAAGUUACAAAUAAAUAACAACAACAACAAAAAGGAACCAAUCUCACUAACACCUUGCUCUCAAAUUUCCAGAAGUGUAUGACAGUGUCUGUUGUUAACCCAUGCAGUUUAUGGAUGGUCCUCUGUUAAGGGAGUCCUAGAAAACGCAUGCAGUUGGCUCCUUAAUCUUGCCCAUGGCUGUUCAGAUGCAGGCCUCUUGACCUGGGUUCCUGCAGGGACUGUGACUGAUGCCAGGAGUGGCCCCAGCACACACAGUAUGGAAUUCUGGCUGGGCUACUAGCAUAUCUGUGCCUAUACUGGGAGCGAGAGAACUGC
ensembl:lncRNA